GUCAAAGUGGAUCCUUCUCAAGGCAGAGGGACCAGGACUCAGCCGCAGUGGCGUAGCUUGGGCCUGAACAAACCCACUCGUUUCACUGUGAGCACUAAAGGAGCAGGAAAGGGAAACUUGGACUGCAACUUCAGCGGCCCAACCAAAGAAGAGGCUGUGAAAGACUUUGAAAUCAUCAACAACCACAACCUCAUUCUUCUGGCUGUUAUGCAGCAUAUUAAAUGGGAGAAUGUGGAUGUUAAGAGAUUUUUACUUUUACUUACUUUGAUAACCUUUAUUUUGCUUAAGUAUAAUUUCUUGUGAGAACAUGAUGUGGCUGUAACCUACAGAUUAAGGAACAGAAGCAUGCGUAAGGAAGUUACAAAGUCACACACGCUCAGGCAGAGACCGUUCCAACCUGAAGCUGAUAUGACAAAAGAUACUAGUUCCUCUUGUCUUAUGGAUAACGGCCAUUCAUGCGAUAACCAUAUCUAGAGAUGUUUUUCUAUUACAUAUGCUCCACCUAGAGAUGCUGUGUAAUCUAUUCUCUGCUAUAAAAUAAAGAACGGACUGAGGCUCUGCGCGACUUGCUUGUGUCUUGCCACGCAGUAAGCUUCGCCCGUGUACACGAAAUAAA